rnacentral:rRNA from 1 species
UACCAGCACCCCGAGUGGUCGGGACGAUUAUUGGGCCUAAAGCAUCCGUAGCCGGUCCUGCAAGUCUUCCGUUAAAUCCAGCUGCUCAACAGAUGGGCUGCGGGGGAUACUACAGGGCUAGGAGGCGGGAGAGGCAAGCGGUACUUUAUGGGUAGGGGUAAAAUCCGUUGAUCCAUAGAAGACCACCAGUGGCGAAGGCGGCUUGCCAGAACGCGCUCGACGGUGAGGAUGAAGCUGGGGGAGCAAACCGG